UCUGUGAGACCAGGCUGGUAAAACAUCGCAAUCCGUACGAAAAAGAGGAGGGAGAAGACAAGGAAGAAACAAGAAACAACAUAGAAACGAUUUAUUGGAUCAUUUCUAAACGUUUCUUUGUGGGUGUUUGGCAUUCUAAGAAUGACGAGAACGACGUGAUUUUUUUUCUAUACAUGUUUCUGUUGGAGUUAGUGAAAUGUGUUUUCGAGUGCAUUGUGGAUAGGCUGGAUGUUGAGUGGGGCGUCGUAAGAAGGGACAUUUGAUUUACCAUCGUGUUUUACAUUGAUAUGCAAUUGUUAUAUAUCAGAGCAGCAUAGGACAGUGUAUAGAGAAGCUCUGAACAACUAGAAACUCUGGGUUGCUACGCAGAACAACGGAAUGUCGCUCUGUAAGCAGUGUCAGAACUGAAAAGAUUCCCAUAGCUGUUCAAAGUAUUUUUUCCGGAGACAUCGGUUUUGGACAGCAUGCUUGCACAAUAGGUUCAAAAGUGAAAUUUCGUAGGCUUUAAUACACAAGAAAAGAAGAGAUUGGGGCACAUAUUAUUAUUAUACUGUUCAACACCGUUUGGAUAUGCAAAACCAACUUUGAGAAUGAAGAAAAGGAAAUGUGUGUUCCCGGUAGUUCACAUUGGUCUGUCUGUUUAGAAGGGAAUUUACGCAUUACAUCAACUUUAUUCAAUUUUUUGUCGUCAAUUUAUACAUGUUUUUGGUCAGAAACUUAUCCAAAAGACUGAGCUGGACAUAUUCUGACUAUUCUGCACUGAACAUAGUCUAUUUGAACCGAGCUGGACAAAUUGUGAGCUGGAGCAAAUAAUAGAAACUUAAUCGGAAAUCUAAAGUGGAACAUUAUUUUACCGUAUUUAUAAAGUUAUCAGUUUCACUAUUACGUGGAGAAAAAUAUAACUAAUAACAUUUUCAUUAAGAUUUGGAUUUCAACACUGGUGGAAGUAUUGCUUCCAUUGCGCGCUGGAAAAGGCUGAAUUUUGCACACUGAGGCGGCUGUCGAAUUUGGUUGUGGAACUCUCCCCCCAAGCUGACAUGGAGGAGUGGAGGCAAUGCGGGCGGUGGUUGAUAGACUGCAAGGUUUUGCCCCCAAACCACCGGGUCGUGUGGCCUUCUGCAGCUGUGUUCGACUUGGCACAGGCGCUACGAGACGGAGUGCUCUUGUGCCAGAUGUUGCACAACCUGUCACCGGGGUCUGUGGACCUAAAGGAGAUCAACUUCAGACCCCAGAUGUCCCAGUUUCUCUGUCUGAAGAACAUCCGGACGUUCCUCAAGGUGUGCCACGACAAGUUUGGCCUGCGUAACAGUGAGCUGUUUGACCCUUUUGACCUGUUUGAUGUCAGGGAUUUCGGCAAGGUGAUCUCAGCCCUGUCCAGGAUCUCCCACCACAGCAUUGUGCAGAUCAAAGGCGUGAGGCCUUUUCCUUCGGAGGACACUGCUCUGAAUGAGGAUGACGUGUACCGGAGUCUUGAGGAGCUGGCAGAUGAGCAUGACGUGGGGGAGGAUGACAUCUACGACUGUGUUCCCUGUGAGGAUGAUGGAGAUGACAUCUACGAGGACAUCAUCAAGGUGGAAGUACGACAACCCAUGAUCAGAUACAUGCAGAAAAUGGGCAUGACAGAAGACGACAAGAGAAACUGCUGCUUAGUGGAGAUCCAGGAGACUGAGGCCAAGUACUACAAGACGCUGGAGGACAUUGAGAAGAAUUAUAUGAUUCCCCUGAAGCAAGUUCUAAGUCCACAAGACAUGGGGGCCAUCUUUGUAAAUCUGGAGGAUGUGAUUAAGGUCCACUUUGCUCUGCUGAGGGCCAUCGACCUCAACAUGGUGAGCGGAGGCAACGGUCUGGGGAAGAUCUUCAUAGACUUCAAGGAAAGGUUGCUGAUCUAUGGACAGUACUGCAGCCACAUGGAGACCGCUCAGAAGACACUGGAUGAGCUCAUCACCACACGGGAGGAAGUCAAGAUGAAAGUAGAGGAGUGCACUAUGAAGGUGCAGGAGGGGAAGUUCAAGCUCCAGGACCUGUUGGUCGUGCCCAUGCAGAGAGUACUAAAGUACCACCUCCUACUCAAGGAGCUGGUGAGUCAUUCAACUGACCGACCUGAUAGACAGCAGCUGAAGGAGGCGUUGGAGGCCAUGCAGGACUUGGCUAUGUACAUCAAUGAAGUGAAGAGAGACAACGAGACCUUGAAGAAGAUUAGUGAAUUCCAGAACUCCAUCGAGAACCUUCAGCAGGUCAAACUGGAGGAGUAUGGCAGACCAAAGAUAGAUGGCGAGCUCAAGGUGUCCUCCAUAGUCAACCGAACAAAGCAGGACCGGUACAUAUUCCUGUUUGAUAAAGUGGUCAUUGUGUGCAAGCGGAAAGGCUACAGCUAUGAACUGAAAGAGAUCAUUGAGCUGCAGUCAUACAAAAUGUCUGACGACCCCAUGAACAACAGAGACGUGAAGAAGUCCAGUGGAAAAAUGUGGUCCUAUGGCUUCUACCUGAUUCACCUGCAAGGCAAGCAGGGCUUUCAGUUCUUCUGUAAAACAGAGGACACCAAGAGGAAAUGGAUGGAGCAGUUUGAGAUGGCCAUGUCAAACAUCAAGCCGGAGAAAGCCACGGCCAAUCAGCACAACUUCCAGAUGCACACGUUUGAGAAGAACACCAACUGCCGAGCUUGCAAGAUGCUGCUGAGGGGGAUCUUCUACCAGGGGUACUACUGUUCCCGCUGUGGGACUGGAGCUCAUAAAGAGUGUCUAGAGUGCAUCACCAUCUGCAAAAUCAAUCCACUCGACACGGACCUUGGACUACCGUCAUCAGGCCCUAAGAUGGUGGCAGUAAGGAACUAUCAUGGGACGCCUGUUCCUCCGGGGAAGACUCCACUCUCCUUUCAGACAGGGGACUUCAUCGAGCUGCUGAAGGGGGAACCUGACACCACCUGGUGGGAGGGAAAGCUUAUCCAAACCCAGAAGAGUGGCUUCUUUCCUAACAACUGUGUAAAGCCUUGUUUGGAUCCCAAGCCUUUGUUCCAGUCCUUCCCCAGCCGGCAGCCCUCAAGGGAAACAGACUACUAUGGAUACCCCUGGUUUGCUGGCAACAUGGAGCGGACACAGGCUGACAACCUGUUAAAGUCCCACAGCAGUGGAACAUACCUGAUCAGAGAGAGGACUGCUGAGGCAGAGAGGUUCGCCAUCAGCAUCAAGUUCAAUGAGGAAGUGAAGCACAUUAAAGUCAUUGAGAAAGACAGCUGGAUCCACAUCACUGAGGCUAAGAAGUUUGAGAGUCUACUGGAGUUGGUGGAGUACUAUCAGUCUCAUUCGCUGAAGGAGAGUUUCAAGCUGCUAGACACAACUUUACGAUAUCCCUACAAAUCUAAAGAACGGGGGCCGGCGUCGCGGGCCAGCACCCGCUCUCCAGGUGAGCCCAUCCCUGCAGCCAUUGGCGCUUCCUACAACUUCUCCUUCCUCAGUCCUCAGGGUCUAAACUUCUCCUCUCAGAGCUCAGCCCCCUUCUGGUCAGGUACUCUCUCCUCCCUUUUCUUCAGCUCUUGUUCUUCUUCCCUCUUCCCUCUAGCAAGCCACCUCUCCUCUCGUUUCACAUCCCUUUUCAUCCCGUACUCUUUCAUAGCUGCUGUCAUAGGUUCUCAUCUCUGUUGUCAUGUGUCAUCACUGUGCAUUACAUUGUUUGGAGCAUAUAGGAUGUGCGACUUUAUCUUUAUGUGUCAUCACUGUGCCAUCAUUGAGUAGAGCAUUGAAUGAACUGGUUUCAUUAGAAAGUCAAAUUGAAUCAAGGUGCAGAAUCCAUCUCCUCUGUAUCACUCAUGCACCAUCCUCUCCUCCAACCCUAAUCUCCACUACUGUCUGUUAAUGUUGUGCACUCUCCCACAAUCUUUAUCUGUGGGCCACCAAUGUGUCUGGUCUCUCUGCACUGUUAUCCCACGGACUCGCUCUGAUGUCAUUGCUGCAGUAUUCACGCCGAGGGUGGUCAGCACAGCGGUGGCCAGGUACAACUUUGCAGCACGGGACAUGAGAGAGCUGUCACUCAGAGAAGGGGACAUCGUCAAGAUCUACAGCAAGAUUGGAGGAGACCAGGGCUGGUGGAAGGGAGAGGCCAAUGACAGGAUUGGCUGGUUUCCCUCAACGUACGUUGACGAAGAAGGAGUUCAGUGAGGCUCUGAUGUCACCACGGCCCCAGUCCAAUCACAUCACACCUCGCUCCACAGUCCUCAGAGAGGACUAGUUGGUUUCCAGGGAAACACCAUGUGGAAUACUUUUUGCUGGAUACUGAUUUUGCAGUGAACAACGUUUCUACUCCGGUUUUCUUCCUACUUGUAUGCAUCGGCUUUGCUUAUGUUGUUUUUUUGUAAGAUCUUGUCCUGUUUGAUCUCUGUGAGGAAGUCUGUCUGCCUCUUGUUGUUCUGAAGAGGCUGACGUGGACUGUGAAAAAUUGUAGAGAGGCCCAACACACAGUACAUACAGAUACUGGGAACCUAUAGUUUUAUUACAUAGAUAGACUCCUCCUUUGUUGCAGGUCUAUGGGAGGGGCUAAUAUAAUGUAUAGAUAAUUUAUUUAACAGAGAUCCUAACAAUUAUUGUGUGUUGUUGAGAUUAGCAACACAGCAGACGAAAAGAAAAAGAACAAAACACAGGUUUGUGUCUUUUUGCUGGAAGAUUUUGCCUUAGUUGUCAUGGUGAUGCCUUGAAGGCUUACAGGAGAGAGGGAAGGAGAAAUGGCCUUGCACACACACACACACACACACACACACACACACACACUCACACUUGCCCUUGCCUUUGAAGUGUGGUCAAUGCUCACAGGAUUCGCCAGCUUUCAGUCGAGCUCUACCCAUCCAUCCUCUACUACAGAGUGGACUAUGGAUGGAGAAGAAGAGAGAAGGGGGCGAUGGACCAUUUGGGAUUGCUCCAGUCAUCAACACUCUAUGUGACUGGUGCAAGAAGGGAGUUAGUUCAUUAAUUCGUCCCCCUUGCCGACUGAAGAUAGACAGUGGCCCUCAGAAACAUUGCACUGGAGUCGGGGAAUUAACGGUUCCUGUCGCAGCCAAAAAACACAGCGACCCACUGAAAGGUGUAAUGUUAGGUAGAAUGGGUGUACAGAUAGAAGGUUCACAUCAGUCUCAGCACUUUACGUCUGUGGGAUCUCCUCACAAUCAACAGGAUGCAAAAAGGGAAACUUUAAGUCAGUCCAACACCCACUUAAUGCACUGAAAAUCUAUCUUGGUGUUCAAUGUUUUUGUUGUUUUUAAUUUAGUUUUAUUUUGAACAAGACCACAUUUACCUGCUGGAAACUGGACCAACCUGAAUUAUUUUAAAGCCAAAUGCAACCUCUUUUUAUUAAUGUCCGCAUGAACUUUAACCUAGAUAUUUGUGUUAUCAGUUUGUUUGUACCUUGCCUUAUUUUACAAAUGGACACAUGGUACUGGGACUUUAGCAAGUUUACAAUUUAAAUCAAAUUUUGUUGCUUUGGUGACUGGCGAAGUAAUAUGGCAGCUCCAUGAAUUACGCAGAAUCAAAAAGUCAACAUCAUACUAUGAGGAUCUACCUGAACAUAAUAUGAAGGUGUCACAAUAUGGACAUAUUGUACACAGUCAUACAUUUUCUAGCUCAGAGAGAAAACAGUGCAGCUACACUGGAUCAUUGACUGAAUGACCACAUCCAUUUAAUUAGAAGAUAGAGAUACAGAUGGCUGCCAUAUUCCCUGGUCCCAUCCCAGAUCAGUUGCCAAGUAGGCUACCCACAAUAAUCUACUGACCAGAAGGAUUCAAACAAUGAUGUUGGCUGACAAACUAAGACUGAUGUGGUGGAAGAGGAAAGAGUACUGUAAGUUUCUGACAAUAUGUGACAGUGUGCAUUCCAAAGGCCCACUACUCCCAAAUACAACUCCUGCCAUCUAGGAUUGAAGGAGUUCAUUUUGAGGGGAGUACUUGUUAGCUAUGGGGGGGGGGGGGGGGGGGAAUUACUUAGUCACUGUUUGUGUAGUGGAGAAACCCCAUUGCAUGUGGUAAUAGAUAUUUCAUCUCCUGUCAGUACAUCUUCAAAAAAUUACUUAAUCGUGUACAUUUUUUGGAACGGUCGAGUAUUUCCAAAAUGAGGUCUAUCAUGAAAUAAAUAUUUCUCUUUUUGCCUAAA